GAUGAACGCUAGCUACAGGCUUAACACAUGCAAGUCGAGGGGAAACGGCAUUGAGUGCUUGCACUCUUUGGACGUCGACCGGCGCACGGGUGAGUAACGCGUAUCCAACCUUCCCAUUACUGUGGGAUAACCUGCCGAAAGGCAGACUAAUACCGCAUAGUCUUCGAUGACGGCAUCAGAUUUGAAGUAAAGAUUUAUCGGUAAUGGAUGGGGAUGCGUCUGAUUAGCUUGUUGGCGGGGUAACGGCCCACCAAGGCUACGAUCAGUAGGGGUUCUGAGAGGAAGGUCCCCCACAUUGGAACUGAGACACGGUCCAAACUCCUACGGGAGGCAGCAGUGAGGAAUAUUGGUCAAUGGACGGAAGUCUGAACCAGCCAAGUAGCGUGCAGGAUGACGGCCCUAUGGGUCGUAAACUGCUUUUGUAUGGGGAUAAAGUUAGGGACGUGUCCCUAUUUGCAGGUACCAUACGAAUAAGGACCGGCUAAUUCCGUG
rnacentral:rRNA from 1 species